CCUACGGGAGGCAGCAGUAGGGAAUUUUCCGCAAUGGGCGAAAGCCUGACGGAGCAAUACCGCGUGAGGGAUGACGGCCUGUGGGUUGUAAACCUCUUUUCUCAAGGAAGAAGUUCUGACGGUACUUGAGGAAUAAGCAUCGGCUAACUCUGUGCCAGCAGCCGCGGUAAUACAGAGGAUGCAAGCGUUAUCCGGAAUCACUGGGCAUAAAGCGUCUGUAGGUUGUUUAGUAAGUCUGCUGUUAAAGACUGGGGCUUAACCCCAGAAAAGCAGUGGAAACUGCUAGACUCGAGUGUGGUAGAGGUAGAGGGAAUUCCUAGUGUAGCGGUGAAAUGCGUAGAUAUUAGGAAGAACACCAAUGGCGAAGGCACUCUACUGGGCCAUAACUGACACUGAGAGACGACAGCUAGGGGAGCAAACGGGAUUAGAUACCCCGGUAGUCCUAGCCGUAAACGAUGGAUACUAGAUGUUGCACGUAUUAACCCGUGCAGUAUCGUAGCUAAGGCGUUAAGUAUCCCGCCUGGGAAAGUACGCGUCGCGAGAGAGAACGUACGUAAUAGUAAGUUAGUUACGUCGUUGAGACGUUGCCGACGGACGACGACGAGGGAGGAGG
rnacentral:rRNA from 1 species